GACGAACGCUGGCGGCGUGCCUAAUACAUGCCAGUCGAACGCUUCUUUCCUCCCGAGUGCUUGCACUCAAUUGGAAAGAGGAGUGGCGGACGGGUGAGUAACACGUGGGUAACCUACCCAUCAGAGGGGGAUAACACUUGGAAACAGGUGCUAAUACCGCAUAACAGUUUAUGCCGCAUGGCAUAAGAGUGAAAGGCGCUUUCGGGUGUCGCUGAUGGAUGGACCCGCGGUGCAUUAGCUAGUUGGUGAGGUAACGGCUCACCAAGGCCACGAUGCAUAGCCGACCUGAGAGGGUGAUCGGCCACACUGGGACUGAGACACGGCCCAGACUCCUACGGGAGGCAGCAGUAGGGAAUCUUCGGCAAUGGACGAAAGUCUGACCGAGCAACGCCGCGUGAGUGAAGAAGGUUUUCGGAUCGUAAAACUCUGUUGUUAGAGAAGAACAAGGACGUUAGUAACUGAACGUCCCCUGACGGUAUCUAACCAGAAAGCCACGGCUAACUACGCG
rnacentral:rRNA from 1 species